rnacentral:rRNA from 1 species
AACGGCCGUACCAUGCUGAAUAUACCGGUUCUCGUUAGAUCACCGAAGUUAAGCAUCAUUGGGCGCGGUCAGUACUUGGGUGGGUGACCACCUGGGAACACUGCGUGCCGCUG